GUUAGGCGAGGGGAACCGAGCCCUCCCUCUCCCGGACACAGGGACGUAGUCCCCUUUCCAGGAUCGGGAGGGGGGUGCACGGUCCUUCCCCCAACGCUCCCCUCCGUCCUCCCGUUCCCGUUCCUGGUGACGCGCCUGUUGGCGUCGUCGUCCAUAGUGGACUUGGGUCCACUGUCCUUUCCACAUUUUUGUGUUUUUAAUUUGUGUGUCUAUUUAUCUUUUAUCCAGUAAUAUGUAUUUAUUUAUUUAUUUAUUGUGGUGGAUUCGCCUUUGCUAUAUAAAUAAUAAUGGUUGUUUUCAAUGAUGCUAUUUAUUAGGUUAGAUCUGUAUUGAUAAUGUAUUUUUAUAUAAUUGCCAAAAAAAAACACAAAAACCUAUUUUUUACAAAACCCCAAAAAAACAAAAAAAAUGGCCAAAUCUGAAAUAAGCUGCGACUUUCGGUCCAAUUGUGUGUGCUCUCAGACAACGUUUCGGCUCCUUGAGCCUUCUUCAGGUCUACUGGCACACAGUCACAGCACAGCAGGUUUGUGAUGUUCGCACUCCGGUGAACCAACUCGAACUGAGCCCAAGUAAGUGCACCUCCCUAUAUAACCUCUGCUGUCCUUGUAUUUGCUUUUCUUUUUACACCACUAACAUUUAGUGCUUCAAUGUAGAAAUUAACCACAUAUUGGCCAAAUGUUUUGUAAUGUCCAUAUAAAUCAACGUAUAUCCAACAGAAUGAUGUCCUAACUUGACUGUCAUUAACGGAACAGAGGAUAGGACCCAAAAAUGCACGACUCCAAAACAAACGGACAGUUUCAAAAGAGAGGGGUUUAGUAUACGGGUAUAGGUCGGUACACAGGCAGGCAAUCCAAAAAAGACAGCAGUAUCCAAAACCACGAGGCAAAGAGGCGAGGUCGAUAAUCGGAACAGGGUCUAGUCUAACUGUGAGUCUGUGACGUGGAAACAAGGAAUGCUGGAACACGACGACAAGGUACAACGAACUGGCGACGAGAGGGAUUGAGACACGCGGUUAAAUACAAGGGGUAAUUAGGGUGAACGAGGCACAGGUGGUGAAGAUGCUCUCAGGAGCAGGUGUGUGUGAAACAGGGGGAAGACCAAAACCGGAACACACACCCAUGACAUUGACAUACCAUUGUUUUUAUUAUAACACUUGAUAUAUCAUCGCUUCCUGUUUUCACUCCUCCCCAAGAUCCGCGAGGCCGCCAAGACCCACAAGCUGGUGGAGCAGGAGCUGGCACACGCCGUCAACGCCAGCGCCACGGUGCUGACUGAGGCCAAGCUGUCCAGCCCUGAGUUUUGGAGUCGCAGCACAGCUGUGGAAAUUGUCAACAGCAGCAAAGUUCUCCAGGCUGAGACAACCCUGCUUCUGGAUGGAAAACAUCCGGUAACCUCUCUCGCCACUAGCUGCUGCCACUUUUUGGCCAUCUGAUCCUCCUCAGUCUGAGUUCCUUGAGGAAGAGGGGCUCCGCUUAACCCUGAACAGCCUGAGUGCUGACCUCCACAAACUGGAUGACAUCCACUGGAUCUGUCCACUAACGCACUGUGCUGAGGAGGAACAUGGGAUGCCAAGUGUACGACUCCUGAAGCAGAAUCGCCAGGCAACUGAUGAUCUUUUCCGGCCCCUAACCUUGACCGCCGCGAGUGAGGAGAUGCCGUGCUCUUAUCUGCCGGCACCCGCUGUCCUGACUGCGGCGUAGGCGGCAAGGAUUAGCUGUUUUGCGUUUCCUUACUGUGCAUUUUUUUUUUGGAAGCAGGGUCACUCGCAUUGCUCCUCCACUGGCCUGCUGUGCUAAUGAAAGAGCCUACAAUUCUGUCAUUUUGUCAUAAACAGUGUCUACACGUUGCUCGCAUGCAGCAGAGUACAGAACAUCUUUUAGAAACGACACGAUGGAAACCGCCUUCAGACUGAAAUGAGACUUUUCGGGGACACCUUGUUUCUACAUCACGCAACCUUCAAUGGCACCAGAAGCCGAUGUGCAGAAAUCUUGGAUUUUGAACAGAAAAGAAAAACAUUGACUGUAUUUGUGUGUUGAGCUGUUAAUAAUACUACUGAUAAUAAUACUGAUAAUGAUGUGCACAUGCAAGGUGCUCAAGUGGUUUUGACUUUAUUUGGCUUGUCGUGACCUCCACUAAAGAGGUCAUGGGGGUGGUUCAUGAUCAGCUGACUCGAGAUGUAAUGCACCAAUGUGAAUGUUUGCUUUGCCAGUAGUUCCCAAUUGUUGUUAUCGUCUUGCUCUCGCGGGUUUGCUGUCCAAUCCCCCAGGUCCUCCCAACCAUCCCCCCCGUGCGUUCAUAAACACGAUAGGAUCAAUCAAGAAAUCAAGUUGGCCAAAAAUUUGUAGUUUGCAUAAGCAUGUUUAGUCUAAGCUGAUGCUUGCUGUGAGGGGCAUACUAAAUGAUAGUAUGAUGAUGAAACCUGCAAUCUCGGGUCUGAAUGACUACAGGCCUGUCGCUUUGACAUCUGUGGUCAUGAAGUCCUUUGAACGUCUUGUGCUGGACCACCUCAAGAGUGUCACAGGUCCCCUGCUGGACCCCCUGCAGUUUGCCUACCAAGCGAACAGAUCUGCGGAUGAUGCAGUCAACAUGGGACUGCACUUCAUCCUAGAACACCUCGACAGUGCAGGGACCUACGCGAGGAUCCUGUUCGUGGACUUCAGCUCAGCGUUCAACAUCAUCAUCCCUGAACUCCUUUCAUCCAAGCUUCUCCAGCUCAGCGUCUCACCUGCCAUCUGCCAGUGGAUUUACAGCUUUCUGACGGGCAGGACACAGCAGGUCAGGCUGGGGGAGGCCACCUCAUCCACACGCAGCAUCAGCACUGGGGCGCCCCAA